rnacentral:rRNA from 1 species
GAUGAACGCUGGCGGCGUGCUUAACACAUGCAAGUCGAACGGAAAGGCCCUGCUCUUGUGGGGUGCUCGAUUGGCGAACGGGUGAGUAACACGUGAGUAACCUGCCCUUGUCUUUGUGGUAACUUCAGGAAACUGGGGCUCAUACCGGAUAGGAUCUCCUGCUGCAUGGUGUGGGUUGGAAAGUUUCGGCGGUUGGGGAUGGACUCGCGGCUUAUCCGCUUGUUGGUGGGGUAGGUGCUUCCCAAGGCUUUGACGGGUAGCCGGCCUGAGAGGGGGACCGGGCACAAUGGGACUGAGAGACGGAGCAGAAGCGUACGUGAGGCAACGGGCGAGAAUCUUACACAAUGGGGGGAAGCCUGUUACAGCGGCGCCGGGAGCGGGAUGCCGGGUUUUGAGUUGAGAACCGCUUUCGACUGUGACGAGGAGUGAGUGACGGUAAUGGGUAAAGAAGCACCGGCUAACUACGUG